GGCUAUGAACGAACUUUGAUCAUUUUGAAUAUUAUGCUCUUAGUACCUUCGCUCACGUCAACAUUGCGCAUAGUUCAACGUUUGCGACUUAUACUGGAUUUAUUUGAAAUAAUUGUUGACUACCUGUACCAUGAUGCAAUAAUUGCUUCAAGAUUACCCUAGGUUGACAUUUCUCAAACGUUUUCUCGUUCUUUGCAUUGGUUCGGAUGGCGGCCUAACACCUUGACUGUGCAUCGUAACUGGAUAAAGCUAGAAAAAUUCCGCAUACAUACGUAACACAAGAUGUUUUAACGGUUUCACUGUUGAGCAGAGAAAUGAUACGACUGACUACUUUUGUUUGCCGUUAAGUGCGACGUCCCCGAACACCCGACACCGCUGGCGUAUAUCGCGCAGUUGAACUUUCUGCAGCUAGUGAUGGGGACGGCCUUCGAUCGGACUGGUCAAAAUUGAGGGCGAAAAUGGCUUGUACACGCUAUUGCUUACGAUAAAGUCAUGGUCACUUCCCGCAUCCUCACGUCCACCACGCUCAGCGUGUCAUCCCGGGAACAAGUUAAAACCGCCAGCUCGUUGACACUGGUGGCGCAUCUCGUGUCCCAGUAGCGAAUUUUGCCAUCAAAGUGUCCACUGAGAAUCGUCUGACUGCCGCACACCACGACGUCGUUGCAGCUGGAGCCGGCGAAGAAAUUUUGUGUACACGCUCCGCUUCUGAGAUCCCAUAAUUUGAGCGUCCGAUCAUAGCUGCCCGAAACCACGCGGUUGGGACCGGAAAUGAAUUUACUGGACAGCACUUUCUCUUUGUGCCCCGUUAAUUUGUGCUAUGAAUAAGAAAAUGCCAGACAUUUAAUAAAAGCAUACAAACGGUAUAACCGAGUGCACACUGUUUGCAUCUUGUAAUUAAUUGUCUGUGCACACACACUGGCUGUACACACAGAGUCAGACACUGCUUGUACACUGUUUAUACCUCGUCAUAAGCAUUAAC